rnacentral:rRNA from 1 species
AGAGUUUGAUCAUGGCUCAGAUUGAACGCUGGCGGCAGGCCUAACACAUGCAAGUCGAACGGUAACAGGAAGCAGCUUGCUGCUUCGCUGACGAGUGGCGGAAGGGUGAGUAAUGUCUGGGAAGCUGCCUGAUGGAGGGGGAUAACUACUGGAAACGGUAGCUAAUACCGCAUAAUGUCGCAAGACCAAAGAGGGGGACCUUCGGGCCUCUUGCCAUCGGAUGUGCCCAGAUGGGAUUAGCUUGUUGGUGGGGUAACGGCUCACCAAGGCGACGAUCCCUAGCUGGUCUGAGAGGAUGACCAGCCACACUGGAACUGAGACACGGUCCAGACUCCUACGGGAGGCAGCAGUGGGGAAUAUUGCACAAUGGGCGCAAGCCUGAUGCAGCCAUGCCGCGUGUAUGAAGAAGGCCUUCGGGUUGUAAAGUACUUUCAGCGGGGAGGAAGGGAGUAAAGUUAAUACCUUUGCUCAUUGACGUUACCCGCAGAAGAAGCACCGGCUAACUCCGUGCCAGCAGCCGCGGUAAUACGGAGGGUGCAAGCGUUAAUCGGAAUUACUUGGCGUAAAGCGCACGCAGGCGGUUUGUUAAGUCAGAUGUGAAAUCCCCGGGCUCAACCUGGGAACUGCAUCUGAUACUGGCAAGCUUGAGUCUCGUAGAGGGGGGUAGAAUUCCAGGUGUAGCGGUGAAAUGCGUAGAGAUCUGGAGGAAUACCGGUGGCGAAGGCGGCCCCCUGGACGAAGACUGACGCUCAGGUGCGAAAGCGUGGGGAGCAAACAGGAUUAGAUACCCUGGUAGUCCACGCCGUAAACGAUGUCGACUUGGAGGUUGUGCCCUUGAGGCGUGGCUUCCGGAGCUAACGCGUUAAGUCGACCGCCUGGGGAGUACGGCCGCAAGGUUAAAACUCAAAUGAAUUGACGGGGGCCCGCACAAGCGGUGGAGCAUGUGGUUUAAUUCGAUGCAACGCGAAGAACCUUACCUGGUCUUGACAUCCACGGAAGUUUUCAGAGAUGAGAAUGUGCCUUCGGGAACCGUGAGACAGGUGCUGCAUGGCUGUCGUCAGCUCGUGUUGUGAAAUGUUGGGUUAAGUCCCGCAACGAGCGCAACCCUUAUCCUUUGUUGCCAGCGGUCCGGCCGGGAACUCAAAGGAGACUGCCAGUGAUAAACUGGAGGAAGGUGGGGAUGACGUCAAGUCAUCAUGGCCCUUACGACCAGGGCUACACACGUGCUACAAUGGCGCAUACAAAGAGAAGCGACCUCGCGAGAGCAAGCGGACCUCAUAAAGUGCGUCGUAGUCCGGAUUGGAGUCUGCAACUCGACUCCAUGAAGUCGGAAUCGCUAGUAAUCGUGGAUCAGAAUGCCACGGUGAAUACGUUCCCGGGCCUUGUACACACCGCCCGUCACACCAUGGGAGUGGGUUGCAAAAGAAGUAGGUAGCUUAACCUUCGGGAGGGCGCUUACCACUUUGUGAUUCAUGACUGGGGUGAAGUCGUAACAAGGUA